rnacentral:rRNA from 1 species
UACGAAGGGUGCAAGCGUUACUCGGAAUUACUGGGCGUAAAGCGUGCGUAGGUGGUUUGUUAAGUCUGUUGUGAAAGCCCCGGGCUCAACCUGGGAAUGGCAAUGGAUACUGGCAAGCUAGAGUGCGGUAGAGGGUAGUGGAAUUCCCGGUGUAGCGGUGAAAUGCGUAGAGAUCGGGAGGAACACCAGUGGCGAAGGCGGCUACCUGGACCAGCACUGAGACUGAGGCACGAAAGCGUGGGGAGCAAACAGG